GCUUACGGCCAUACCAGCCUGNNUACGCCCGAUCUCGUCCGAUCUCGGAAGCUAAGCAGGGUCGGGCCUGGUUAGUACUUGGAUGGGAGACCGCCUGGGAGUACCAGGUGCUGUAAGCCU
rnacentral:rRNA from 1 species